UUAUAGACCGACAUGUGAACAUGGCUGUUUUAAGUGGGUACGCAGGACUAUAGUCCGGGGACAACGGUGUAGGAAUUAACUAAAUCUUUUCUCCCAGAUAUCUUCGUCCUCAGAGAGUUGAAAAAAGUAAAGUUCUGCAUAUCUGCUCUUGGUCUUCUCCUACUGCUCGGUGCUUUAAUGGCACUCUGUGCUGUAGGGAUCUUGUAUCACAAUAAAGUUGUCUCCUUUGAGAUUUUGCAUGAGCAGAAUGAGAAUACAAAGCCAAGGGGUGUUUUGUGACAGAAAAUAAAAAGGAACUUCAAAACUCACGAGCAUGCGUAGAGACACACACACACACACACACACACACACACACACACACACACACACUUCAGCGCUUCUCUCUCUCUCUUUUCUUCACACACACACACACACACACACACACACACACAUUUAUCAUCCAUACAGUGUGUCCGCUUUUCCACAGUGGGUUUUGACCAUUCAGCCCUUACGCUGUUCAGCGGUGACCCAGACCUGGGCCCUGAGUUGAGCCUCUCACUCUCUUCUCCAGCAGCUGUAUCACAGGUCUCUAUAUUCCUUUUACUUGUUCAACACACACACAGUUCAGUUCACAAACACAAUAACCACAAUUUAACCACACUCCUUAGUUAGUUACUCACAUCAGCCAGUUCUCUUCUACAAUGUCUAAUUUCUAUUACUUUUCUCACCCACUAUGGUUCCCUUAGAAUUUUGUAAUUUUUUUUUUAAAUGUUCAAGCAUUCAUCCAGGUUCUUUUGGAGACCAAUUUCGUCCUCCCUCAGUCUCCGGGGCUCCCCUCUCCUGGGAGCAGAUUAACUAAAGCAAAACUUCGGUCAAACAGGUGUCUGCUUUACCUUUGUCCUAUAUGGCCUGUCUGCUGCCCACAGAGCGGUGAAGUCACAAGAAAGGGGAUCAGAUUUCUGGCCUAAAUCAGACCCAUCUGGGGUGGCAAAUGUUGGCCUGAAAAAUUAUUAACAUUAGCUACUAUUAUUUAAAGUCUAUACUUACAUCAGCUAGACCAAUUUGUGGAUGAAGAAAUACACAAGAACACAGCGGGUGAGAGAAGCAAGGGUCCAAGUUUAUUACCAACCACCACAAGAUCCCAACAGUGACUACGUUUACAUGGACAGCAGUAAUCUAAUUAUUGACCUUACUCUGAGUAAGAUAAUAAUGUGAUUAAGGUGUUUACAUGAGUCGCUUUUAGAAUACUCCUGUCAUGUACCCGUUUUACAUGUUAUAGAACAUAAUUAGAUUAACGGCACAUGUCAUUACGUCACCGUGCCACGCCGUCCGACGUCCCUCCAGAAUUUCACGUAUCAACAUACAGUUCAUCUUCGUUAUGGGACCGUAUACAUUUUUCGGUGUUUUUAUUAAAAAAUUUUUACGAACUCUUUAAGUGCGGUUAAUUAUUUGUCAUGCUGUACGUGCUAAUAGAUGACUGCUUGAAGCCGUGGGCUGCGUCCCAAACCGCG